GAUGUGUAGGAUAGGUGGGAGGCUUUGAAGCGUGGACGCCAGUCUGCGUGGAGCCGACCUUGAAAUACCACCCUUUAAUGUUUGAUGUUCUAACGUGGACCCGUGAUCCGGGUUGCGGACAGUGUCUGGUGGGUAGUUUGACUGGGGCGGUCUCCUCCUAAAGAGUAACGGAGGAGCACGAAGGUUGGCUAAUCCUGGUCGGACAUCAGGAGGUUAGUGCAAUGGCAUAAGCCAGCUUGACUGCGAGCGUGACGGCGCGAGCAGGUGCGAAAGCAGGUCAUAGUGAUCCGGUGGUUCUGAAUGGAAGGGCCAUCGCUCAACGGAUAAAAGGUACUCCGGGGAUAACAGGCUGAUACCGCCCAAGAGUUCAUAUCGACGGCGGUGUUUGGCACCUCGAUGUCGGCUCAUCACAUCCUGGGGCUGAAGUAGGUCCCAAGGGUAUGGCUGUUCGCCAUUUAAAGUGGUACGCGAGCUGGGUUUAGAACGUCGUGAGACAGUUCGGUCCCUAUCUGCCGUGGGCGCUGGAGAACUGAGGGGGGCUGCUCCUAGUACGAGAGGACCGGAGUGGACGCAUCACUGGUGUUCGGGUUGUCAUGCCAAUGGCACUGCCCGGUAGCUAAAUGCGGAAGAGAUAAGUGCUGAAAGCAUCUAAGCACGAAACUUGCCCCGA
rnacentral:rRNA from 2 species